GGCUUAACACAUGCAAGUCGAACGGGAUCUUCGGAUCUAGUGGCGCACGGGUGAGUAACGCGUAGGAAUCUACCCAUUAAUCUGGAACAACAGCGGGAAACUGCUGCUAAUGCCGGAUACGCUCUUAGGAGGAAAGAUUUAUCGUUAAUGGAGGAGCGUGCGUUGGAUUAGGUAGUUGGGCGGGUAAUGGCCUACCAAGCGGACGAUCCACACCCGGUCUGAGAGGAUGAUCCCCCACACUGGGAGGGAGACACGGCCCAGACUCCUACGGGAGGCAGCAGUGGGGAAUAUUGGGCAAUGGGCGCAAGCCUGACCCAGCCAUGCCGCGUGAGUGAUGAAGGCCUUAGGGUGUAAAGCUC
rnacentral:rRNA from 1 species